GAUGAACGCUGGCGGCGUGCCUAAUACAUGCAAGUCGAGCGAACUGAUUAGAAGCUUGCUUCUAUGACGUUAGCGGCGGACGGGUGAGUAACACGUGGGCAACCUGCCUGUAAGACUGGGAUAACUUCGGGAAACCGAAGCUAAUACCGGAUAGGAUCUUCUCCUUCAUGGGAGAUGAUUGAAAGAUGGUUUUGGCUAUCACUUACAGAUGGGCCCGCGGUGCAUUAGCUAGUUGGUGAGGUAACGGCUCACCAAGGCAACGAUGCAUAGCCGCCCUGGGAGGGUGAUCGGCCACACUGGGACGGAGACACGGCCCAGACUCCGACGGGAGGCAGCAGUAGGGAAUCGUCCGCAAUGGACGAAAGUCUGACGGAGCAACGCCGCGUGAGUGAUGAAGGCUUUCGGGUCGUAAAACUCUGUUGUUAGGGAAGAACAAGUACAAGAGUAACUGCUUGUACCUUGACGGUACCUAACCAGAAAGCCACGGCUAACUACGUGCCAGCCGCCGCCGUAA
rnacentral:rRNA from 1 species